rnacentral:lncRNA from 10 species
AGUGGCAACCCACUGGGGUCCCAUUCUGCGCUGUGGAAGCUGUGUUCUUUCGCUCUUCACAGUAAAUCUUGCUGCUGGUUUCUCUUUGGGUCUGCACUACCUUUAUGAGCUGUAACAUUCAAUGUGAAGGUCUGCGGUGUCACUCGUGAAGUCAGCAAGACCAUGAACCCACUGGGAGCAAUGAACAACUCCGGCUGGACCACCUUUAAGAGCUGUAACACUCACUGUGAAGGUCUGUGGCUUCACUCCUGAUGUCAGCAAGACCAUGAACCCACCAGAACGGAGAAACUCUGGACACAUCUGAACAUCUGAAGGAACAAACUCCGGACACACCAUCUUUAAGACCUGUAUCACUCACCGCGAGGGUCCACAGCUUCACUCUUGAGGUCAGUGAGACCAAGAACCCACCGGAAGGAACCAAUUCUGGAUACACUACUACAUCCAUCCUUCUGGCAACAUCACUUGAAUAACAUCAUCCUUCUCUUUAAAAAUCUUCGUUAGGUUCCCUCUGCAUGCUAUAGAGCCAUCCGACUUAAAGUUUGUAGGCGUUCAUCUAACUCUCCAACUUUAUGUCUUAGUAGUCCCAGCCACAUGUCCAAUGCAUAUAGAUUCAAUGAAGUGCCUAAGGAUCCAGGACACAUGCACACCCAGCUGCUCACUGGAGACUGACUCAUCUGUCCCUUUCUGCGUGGAUUGCAUUUCUUCUGAAUCUCCAAAGAAGAACAGAAAACAAAACAAAAUGGGGCUGUAAUGUAUGGAUGACAUUCCUUGGCUCUCCCCCAUCCACUGUAACCAUUCCACCUUUCAAUAUAAUGCUAGUAACAUUUUAUCUGCAUUUCUCAUUUGAGUUCUAGCAACUUAUCUCUGUCAAUACCAUUAAAUUUUUCCCUUGUGAGUACAAAAGCAACUUGAGAGCAAGGAUUUUGUCUGUCUGUUUUGUUCAAUGGUGUAUCCCAAGCACCCAGAAUAGGGUUUGGAAGGUACUACAUGCUCUAUAAAUAAUUAUUGAAUCAAUUAAAUUAAAUUUCAUUAAAUACCUAUUGAUCACCUAUACUAUGCUAGAUAUUGUGUUAGAGUUACUUAUGUGCAUAUCUUAUCUUUCCUAAUUGACUGUGUGUUUCUCAAAGGCAUAGAGAACAUGGUUUAUUCAUCUCGAAUGUACUUACCACAAGGCCUGCCUGGCACAUGCUAAGAAGUUGGUAAACAUUUGUUAAAUAAAUGACAUAAUGAAUGAAGACAUAUCUUUAUAGAUAACAAACCUCACCCAAUAUCCUUUUAUUUUGUAAAGAAUUACUUUCUUUCUGCCUCUAUUCUUCAGAUUCCUAUGACAAGGUUCUGCAUUGCACUUGAAUAGAAAAAUCAGUAAUACACAUUUGUCCUGCCUUUGUUACUGCCAACAUUUUCUACCAGUGCUUUACUCAUACUCUGAGUAUCCAUUUCAUUGCUUACUAUGGGGUUCAAUAAGUGUUAGUGGUGAAGGGGAGUGAUCAGGGAAGA